rnacentral:snRNA from 1 species
CAGUGUCAUUUUAGAAUUUGUCUAGCAGGUUUUCUAGUCUCCACUGGAAGACCCAU